rnacentral:rRNA from 1 species
GACAGAGGAGCCAAGCGUUGUCCGGACUGACUGGGCGUAAAGCGCCCGCAGGCGGCCGUGCACGUGGGGUGUGAAAGCCCCCGGCUCAACUGGGGAGGGUCAUUCGAUACUGAUCGACUCGAAGGCAGGAGAGGGUAGUGGAAUUCCCGGUGUAGUGGUGAAAUGCGUAGAUAUCAGUCGGAACACCGGUGGCGAAGGCGGCUUCUUGGACCUUUACUGACGCUGAGGCGCGAAAGCUGGGGGAGCGAACGGG